UGGAAGUACCAGUUACUUGGAUAACUGCGGUAAUUCUGGAGCUAAUACAUGCACCAAGCCCCGACUCACGAAGCGGCGCUUUUAUUAGAUCAAAACCAAACGGCUUCGGCUGUACUCCUGGUGACUCCGAAUAACUUUGGGCUGAUCCCAUAGCCUUGAGCUGGCGACCUUUCCUUCCAAGGGGUGCCCUAUCAACUUGCGACUGGGGCAUAAACCCCCACCGUGGUUUUGACGGGUAACGGGGAAUCCAGGUUCCAUUCCCGAAAAGGAACCUUAAAAACCGCUACCACAUCUAAAGAAGGGAGCAGGGACCCCAAUUACCCCAUGACCCAAGGGCCAGGUAAUGACCAAAAAUAACCAUUGCGGACUCCUCCCAAGGCCCCUAAUUGGAAUGAAUACCCUUUAAAACCCUCCCCCAAGAUCUAUUGGAAGGCAAGUCUGGU
rnacentral:rRNA from 1 species